UGGGGAAUAUUGCGCAAUGGGCGAAAGCCUGACGCAGCGACGCCGCGUGAGGGAUGAAGGUUCUCGGAUCGUAAACCUCUGUCAGAAGGGAAGAAACCGCACUGUGCUAAUCAGCAGUGCCUUGACGGUACCUUCAAAGGAAGCACCGGCUAACUCCGUGCCAGCAGCCGCGGUAAUACGGAGGGUGCAAGCGUUAAUCGGAAUUACUGGGCGUAAAGCGCACGUAGGCUGCUUUGUAAGUCAGGGGUGAAAUCCCACGGCUCAACCGUGGAACUGCCUUUUAUACUGCUUAGCUUGAAUCCGGGAGAGGGUGGCGGAAUUCCAGGUGUAGGAGUGAAAUCCGUAGAUAUCUGGGGGAACAUCAGUGGCGAAGGCGGCCACCUGGACCGGUAUUGACGCUGAGGUGCGAAAGCGUGGGGAGCAAACAGG
rnacentral:rRNA from 1 species